CCUACGGGAGGCUGCAGUGAGGAAUAUUGGUCAAUGGACGAGAGUCUGAACCAGCCAAGUAGCGUGAAGGAUGACUGUCCUAUGGGUUGUAAACUUCUUUUAUAUGGGAAUAAAAUGUUCCACGUGUGGGAUUUUGUAUGUACCAUAUGAAUAAGGAUCGGCUAACUCCGUGCCAGCAGCCGCGGUAAUACGGAGGAUCCGAGCGUUAUCCGGAUUUAUUGGGUUUAAAGGGAGCGUAGGUGGAUUGUUAAGUCAGUUGUGAAAGUUUGCGGCUCAACCGUAAAAUUGCAGUUGAAACUGGCAGUCUUGAGUACAGUAGAGGUGGGCGGAAUUCGUGGUGUAGCGGUGAAAUGCUUAGAUAUCACGAAGAACUCCGAUUGCGAAGGCAGUUCACUGGACUGCAACUGACACCGAGGCUCGAAAGUGUGGGUAUCAAACAGGAUUAGAUACCCCUGUAGUC
rnacentral:rRNA from 1 species